GCCAGACUCCUACGGGAGGCAGCAGUGGGGGAUAUUGCACAAUGGGGGGAACCCUGAUGCAGCGACGCCGCGUGGGUGAAGGAGUGCUUCGGCAUGUAAAGCCCUAUCGGCAGGGAAGAAGCAAGACGGUACCUGACUAAGAAGCCCCGGCUAACUACGUGCCAGCAGCCGCGGUAAUACGUAGGGGGCGAGCGUUAUCCGGAAUCACUGGGUGUAAAGGGAGCGUAGACGGCGGCGCAAGUCUGGAGUGAAAGGCCGGGGCGCAACCCCGGGACUGCUCUGGAAACUGCGUCGCUGGAGUGCGGUAGGGGCAGGCGGAAUUCCUGGUGUAGCGGUGAAAUGCGUAGAUAUCAGGAGGAACACCGGCGGCGAAGGCGGCCUGCUGGACCGUGACUGACGUUGAGGCUCGAGAGCGUGGGGAGCAAACAGGAUUAGAUACCCGUGUA
rnacentral:rRNA from 1 species